UUUCUCUCUCUCUCUUUCUUUCAUGCAGAGGCCAGUGCUAAGACGAGGGAUGGUGUUCAAUGUGCAUUUGAGGAGCUGGUGGAGAAAAUCCUGCAGACUCCUGGCUUGUGGGAGAGCGUGCACAAGACAAGAGGAGUUGCCCUGUCUGAACUCUCUCAAACGUCUCAAGGAGGCUGUGGGGGAUAUUGCUCACUUCUCUAACCCACAAACUGAUGUCUAAAUAGUGCAGGGAUGACAUUUAUUUAAAGAACUCUAUUGAUGGCAUGCUCAUCGUUUGUAUCCAGGAGGGGGAUAAAAAAGCUUGAUUACUCCAUUAUACCUCAGAUCAGUUUGCUUUUUGGUUUGUAUAUUUUUCGUAAUGUUUUACUUUGUUUUGUCCCAGUGCCUGUGUUUCUUAUUUAGUGAGAGGUAAACACUCAUCAGUCUAACUCGACCUUUCAAACUGCUGGAAUGAGACCUCAGUAGAACACAGAUUUCCAUCAGCAUCUCCUUGAUGUCUGCAACAUGCGGAACACCAUUCUGUCUUUAUCUGUCUAUCUUUGCAUCCCACUUUUUCCUACUGUCAGUCACUUGUUAACUCUCUUUCCUCUCUCUUGGUACACGUAUCUGUCUUCAAUUCAGUUCUAUCUCUGUUUCUCCACGUCCCUCGAUCUAUAUAGAAUAAUAGAGUUACCAAGGUUUUGGAUCUGUAUUUUACUACUUUUAUUGAUUUGGACUGCCCACUUAAAAAUGUGUUUUUGAAGGGUUUAUUAAUCAAAGAGAUUGGCAGAAUAAAUCUCUAUUACACACAUAAAAAUAGGGUUAAAAAUAACUAGAAUAGUGAAGAAUCGAUGGACAGUGUAACACUUACUGUCCUGACAUGUCUGUCCAUCUCAGAGAAAGGAAAAAAAAAUGUUUAAAAAUCCUUUGAGUGAGUCAUUGGGGUGUGACUAUAGAUGGCUGGUUUUCACAUACACGCAAAUGGAACAAAAGAACAAAUUUAGAAAUAAUAAAUGUUCCCCCAAAAAAUGUAUGACGAUUAAUAAUAGCGAUGCCAAAUGAAUAUUUCCAUUCUCCUGGUUUAAUCUGGACUAUGGACUAUUCGAUCUGGACUAUUUAGUCUGUUCUGUUUGUUUUAGAGAAACAUCCAGGGGGUCCCAGAUGUCUAGUCUUGUAUUCAUUGCUUAAAAACUGGGUGGUAAAGUCCUCUGUUUCAGAAAGUGUGUGGCACACGUGGAAGGAAACGCUGGGUUUGUAUGUACUAAUUUUGAGCAUUUAUGCAUUCCUUUUUAUUUGUUUUUAAAAAUGUGCUGAUUAUUAGACUAUUAUAUAUGUAUUGUAUGGUUUCCAUAUGCAUGAAAUUAUGUCUUCUGUCUUUAAGGGCAGUUAUAUGUAAUAGUGUAUUUUUUUUUUAACCUUUCACUACAUCCUCCCAUAUGAGUUAAUUAUUGAUUCGAGGACUUUAAUUUUGAAUUAAUCACAUUUCUCUGUUUUAUAGAUAUUUGUAUGUAAGUUAUUGCUAUUCAGCACUAAAUCCAAAAAGCAUAAUACACAAGAAUGCAUUUACACAAUAUUGCAUACUGUUAUUGCACAUGAAUUGCUGUAUGUAAAUAUUUGCAAGAAAUGCUCUUAAAUACAUUGUAAUGUUGAUGUUGAUGACUCUCCUCUCUAUAAUGCUGAACUUGAAAUGACAAUAUUUUGUCUGUGAAUAUUCUUCCCUCUCUCUCUUUCUCUCUUUCUCUCAUACCUUUUCCAGCAGUGAGUUCUUGUUAAAUAUGACCCACCACAGGAAUGUAUCUCCAAGCCUCUGUGAUUUCACCGUUUCCCGUUACAUUUCUGUGUGAACACUGUAGUGACUGAAGUGUUUGCUUAUUCACAUGUUCAGACGGCAUCUUCAUAUGGUUUCUGCACCCGUCCGAUGUGAUGAAGCCAAAUUAUUGUAUUUGGACAGAGAGGUAGGUCCGGUAACCAUAGUGAUUACAGGUUUUUCACUGUGGAUAUGUCUUCAGAGCUGUUUGACUGAGAGGUGUGUAAUUCUUAGUUGAAAAAUGAAGGCAUAGCUGGAAAAUCUUCUUGGAUUAAAUUCAAAUUUUGAAGAAA